CUACGGGCGGCUCCAGUGGGGAAUAUUGCACAAUGGAGGAAACUCUGAUGCAGCAACGCCGCGUGGAGGAUGACACUUUUCGGAGCGUAAACUCCUUUUAUAUAGGAAGAAGAUGACGGUACUAUAUGAAUAAGCGCUGGCUAACUCCGUGCCAGCAGCCGCGGUAAUACGGAGGGCGCAAGCGUUACUCGGAAUCACUGGGCGUAAAGAGCGUGUAGGCGGAUUAAAAAGUCAGAAGUGAAAUCCUAUAGCUUAACUAUAGAACUGCUUCUGAAACUCUUAAUCUAGAAUAUGGGAGAGGUAGAUGGAAUUUCUGGUGUAGGGGUAAAAUCCGUAGAGAUCAGAAGGAAUACCGAUUGCGAAGGCGAUCUACUAGAACAUUAUUGACGCUGAGACGCGAAAGCGUGGGGAGCAAACAGGAUUAGAUACCCUAGUAGUC
rnacentral:rRNA from 1 species